rnacentral:rRNA from 1 species
UACAGAGGCCACGAGCGUUAGGCGGAAUCACUGGGCUUAAAGCGUGUGUAGGUGGAUGGCUAAGUACCUUGUGAAAUCCCGAGGCUCAACCUCGGAACUGCCUUUGAUACUGGCAAUCUCGAGUCCGGAAGAGGUGAGUGGAAUUCCUAGUGUAGAGGUGAAAUUCGUAGAUAUUAGGAAGAACACCUAUGGCGAAGGCAGCUCUCUGGGACGGUACUGACGCUGAGACGCGAAAGCGUGGGGAGCGAACAGG